GCUAUAGGACACCAAUUUUGGGCACUCUUCUGAAUUGGUCUGUAUGUUGAAUAGUUUUGCACCGUUUAAUUUGAUCGGUGACUUGUAAUGAAGAUGCCACUGACAGUCGGUGGCCCAAUGCUCACAUUUGAUUAAAUUAUUCAUUAUUGGUAUGUUUGGUUACAAAUAUUUACGGGUUUGCCCCCAGUUUUCAUCCCUAGAUCAGCAAAAGCAUGGGUCUUCGUUUUUUGGUCAGAUGAAAAGAAUGGGUGAUGGCAGGAAAUCCAAAAUUUGUUCCAAAAUUAUCGUUUGUUUAUUGUGUAUUUGAAACCCACCCAAUAUCCACAACACACAGUCACUCGAUCACUUUACCAAAAAAUGACCUGGCUCUCUCGGAAUGAGAUUGGAAGGCUGAAUCUUCUCAGAGACGUCGUCCAUAUUUGGCCUCUAUAACCUCGGUCACCGGGGUGGACUCCUCUACAAACCACCAUCCGUUGCUGUGAUCAUGGCUAGAGGGCUGUUGAAGAUAUUGAUCUGAGCAUGAUGAUCUCAGAAUUUUCGGGGGUUUCCGACACCCAAGAGGUCUGAAAUUAUUGUAAGUUCCAAUUUUCAUUAGAUUACAGUGAUCAUGGCUAGAGGACUGUUGAAGAUAUCUAAGAUAUUAUUGUAAGUUCCAAUUUUCACUUUAUCCAACCUAAUUAAUUGAAUUCUGCUUGUAAUUUAUCAAUAAACCCUUGAUUUAGGUGGCUUACUGGAUAUGCUACCAAUUGAUCUUUGAAAAAUGGUCUCUUGUUAUUCAUAGUUGCUGACUGAGUAAGCAAAAGAAUCCUUUUUUAUAGUUUGAUUCUGAUUUAGUUAUGUAUUUGGGCACUACCUAAGAUUAGUACGGUGCUUCAAGACUUGGUUGCUUUCAAUUCUGUAAAGUAUCAUAUAUGUACUUACUAUUUGAUUUUUCUUAUCAAAAAUUUGGUUUUGUAGGAACAAUUAAGGUCUGAUAGUCAGUGUCAGGCAUAAACUUAAUGCUUUUUGCCUUUAUCAUGGUUCUUUUAGGUUUCUGCUGCAUUGUAAGUUAUGCAACAAUGGUAGUUCUGAUUUGGUAGUCAUGUUCUCUGUUUCAAUAUUUCACUCUUGGAUUCUAGGACUUUCUUUUUGUUUGCUUAUAUUAUUGUUCUUCUCUUCUUUAUCGCUAGCAUGUUGGUUAGUACGUUCUGUAUCCUAUCGUAUCUUUUCUUACAUGUUUUUGUGCUUCCAGUUUGUCAUCCUUAGUUUAUUUGGAUGGCUAGGUAUGUUUCAGUGGGAAGGUUUCAAAGUUCUUCUGACUUGAAGUCUUGACUAGUGAGCAUCUGUAAAUUAUGAGUAAUUUCUCUUUGUUACAAACCCAAAUGCAAUGCAUUUUAUAUUCAAAUAAAUACUACUUGUAUUAUAUUCCAUUAGUGUGAGAAACCAUACAAAAAGCAGUCUUCAUAGCUCUUUGUUUAUUGUACUUCCUGCAGCGAGUGAGAAACUAAUCAAGGAGAAGACAUGCUAUUACUUUAUUUUUGAAGGUAAUACUCCUCCCUUUUUUUUUUUUUCACAUUAGUAGAGGAUCCAAGGGAUUUUAAGUUUCAGAGCUUGCAUGUAAUGUCUGGCAUUUUACUUUUGGGAUUACUAGUCAUGACACUUAUAUCCAUAUAUCAUGUUUGUCUAAAAUUGGUUCCGUGAUGGAAACUACUGAAGCUGUGAGAAUGUGAAAUUGUGUUCAUUGGGCUGUCAUGGGAAGCAUGCACCAUGCAUACUCCUGUUAACUUUGUUUCUUUGUUAUUGACAGUGGUGUAUCUCAGGAUUGUUACAUUUCAUUUGGGUUGGCAGGAUGAUUGCCGGUUCUCAUAACCUGAAUAUUUUCUUUUCAGUUAUUGAAGCAAAAUUUAAAGUAAAUUCCUUUCUUAUGAAUAUAUACUUUAGACUUUUGCAGUGAAAUAGCAUAACUUGUUAUAUUCUUUAUAUAGAAUCUAAAUGCUUGUUGAUGGUUCUUUUUAGUUUAUAUAUGAUAAAGUGGUAUGCCGUAACCUAUUUACAUUUGCGACUUCAAUGACAGGCCUUGUGGUAACUAUUUUCUUUUUCUUAUCUGGUUACUUUUGCCUGAUCUGUUCAACAAGGCUCUUCACCAUACUGGUUUUGGUUCUAUCAGCUCAUUGUAUUCCAUUGAAGAUAUGUCUCAGCCUCAUUAAUUAAUUCACUCCAUGUAAUUGAUUUUGUUGCUCAUAUCAUCGAGAAGGAAAUAUUGUUUCCAAUGCCAUUGACAUUUGCGGAUGGGAUCAAGGUGUUUUAGGAAUUUCUAAACAAGUAGCUGCAAGGUUAAGAAAGCUCCUAGCUGGGCGGAAGUUGAAGUGAUAAGACGAAUUGGAGAAGGAAAUACUGAAUGUUAGGGUUAACAUCAGAAGCUACAUGAGAGCUAAGCUAAGUAUUAUUGUUCUUCUUUCUGUUUUGAUUCCUUCAGAACACACAUGUUCCCUGAGAACUAAAUUAGGUAGCUUUGCUUUCUAUUCUUCUACAGUUUCAAGUAUGAAGAGGCAUCUUGACGAGAAGACGUCGGUCGACAUGUUAAACAAGUCAUUUUCCAUUGUGCAGUUAUGACAACUAUGGAAUACAAGCAAAGUCUCUCAUAAGUGUUUUUAGAGGUUUUUCAUUUGCUGUGUAAUUGCUGUAAUAUGAUUAUACAAUCCAAAACAUGGGGCAGGCCAGGGGAAAAAUGAAAAUUUAUAAAAUAAAUGCUUGAUUUUGGUGCCAAUUAAACUGGCGCAACAAA